CUACAAACGAGCUGAACGGCUCAAGACUCGGCUCGAGAAAAGCUAUCCAAGCUCUACUCGGAUGCUAAACAAACAAGUUCGAGCCUAGCAAUUUCGCAUUCUCUUCUUAAACAUAUGGCUCUUCUCACCCAUGCAUUGAACUUGGGCGUUGACCCAAAAGUCCAAGUCUUCUUGGGGGCAGGUGCAUUAAAUUCGUAGAAAAUGGGUGUCAUACAUUUUUUGGGCUAUAAAAGGGUGAACCCUACCUGCCCUUUCCCUAUACCCAGGGAAAAUGGGUUUAAGUAAGCUUUUUGUUGUUUUGCAAGUCCUUUUGAUCUCUGUCAUUCUCUUGGCUUUUCAAGUGGCUGCUAGGGAACUGGUCGAGACUUCUAGUGCUCUAAAUCCUUACCAUAAGAUGGACAGAAAGCUGAUCAAGAAUCCAGAUAAUCCAUGGGGCCACAAUCCCUAGACAUGGAUGUUUUGCCUCAAUGACUCGAGAGCUUAAUUAAUUAAUUCGAGACAAAGGGUUGGCUUGGUGAUUAAGAUGUCCCGAGGCGAUCGAUGCUCGCACUUGAAUCUCACUACUGCAAGUUAGCUAGUACUAUUUUUCUUUUUUCUUUUUUCUUUUUUUUUUCAAUUCUCCUCCUAUCAGUUGUAAAAACGUGGAAUUAAAAUAAAGUUGUUUGUGAAUUGUUGCGAAA